rnacentral:rRNA from 1 species
UUCGAUUGAGUUUGAUCCUGGCUCAGAUUGAACGCUGGCGGCAUGCUUUACACAUGCAAGUCGAACGGCAGCGGGGGCUUCGGCCUGCCGGCGAGUGGCGAACGGGUGAGUAAUACAUCGGAACGUGUCCUUAAGUGGGGAAUAACGCAUCGAAAGAUGUGCUAAUACCGCAUAUCUCUCAGGAGGAAAGCAGGGGAUCGAAAGACCUUGCGCUAAAGGAGCGGCUGAUGUCUGAUUAGCUAGUUGGUGGGGUAAAGGCUUACCAAGGCAACGAUCAGUAGCUGGUCUGAGAGGACGACCAGCCACACUGGGACUGAGACACGGCCCAGACUCCUACGGGAGGCAGCAGUGGGGAAUUUUGGACAAUGGGCGAAAGCCUGAUCCAGCCAUGCCGCGUGAGUGAAGAAGGCCCUCGGGUUGUAAAGCUCUUUUAGUCGGAAAGAAAGAGUCAUAGUAAAUAGCUAUGAUUUAUGACGGUACCGACAGAAAAAGCACCGGCUAACUACGUGCCAGCAGCCGCGGUAAUACGUAGGGUGCGAGCGUUAAUCGGAAUUACUGGGCGUAAAGGGUGCGCAGGCGGCCUUGUAAGUCAGAUGUGAAAGCCCCGGGCUUAACCUGGGAAUUGCGUUUGAAACUACAAAGCUAGAGUGCAGCAGAGGGGAGUGGAAUUCCAUGUGUAGCAGUGAAAUGCGUAGAGAUGUGGAAGAACACCGAUGGCGAAGGCAGCUCCCUGGGUUGACACUGACGCUC